rnacentral:rRNA from 1 species
GACCCUGGCUCAGGAUGAACGCUAGCUACAGGCUUAACACAUGCAAGUCGAGGGGCAGCAUUUUAGUUUGCUUGCAAACUGAAGAUGGCGACCGGCGCACGGGUGAGUAACACGUAUCCAACCUGCCGAUAACUCCGGAAUAGCCUUUCGAAAGAAAGAUUAAUACCGGAUAGUAUACGAAUAUCGCAUGAUAUUUUUAUUAAAGAAUUUCGGUUAUCGAUGGGGAUGCGUUCCAUUAGUUUGUUGGCGGGGUAACGG